rnacentral:rRNA from 1 species
GGAGUUUGGGCCGUGUCUCAGUCCCAAUGUGGCCGUCCGACCUCUCAGUCCGGCUACAGAUCGUCGCUUUGGUGGGCCGUUACCCCGCCAACUGGCUAAUCUGACGCGGGCCCAUCUCGUACCACCGGAGUUUUUCACACUGUAUCAUGCGAUACCGUGCGCUUAUGCGGUAUUAUCAGUCGUUUCCAACUGCUAUCCCCCGGUACGAGGCAGGUUGCCCACGCGUUACUCACCCGUCCGCCACUAAGAUUAAACAAGAUUUGACCGAAGUCUCGUCAGCGUCUAAUCUCCGUUCGACUUGCAUGUGUUAGGCACGCCGCCAGCGUUCAUC